GUGCGGGGCCCGUGCAAUACAGGCCUGUGAACCCCGUCAGGUCCGGAGGGAAGCAGCGGUAAGCAGUCACCUGUAGGUGCCGCGGGGAAACCUGGUUCGG
rnacentral:SRP_RNA from 1 species